AUUCACCAUCAUUUGGUUAUCCCUAUUGCUCAUUGAAAGUAAAAAGCCUAUCUCCACAUUUCCACUGAUUUCUUGGCUUCUGGCCAUCACCUUGCAUGACUGUGUGAAUGGAGAAACCAGGAUUUGCCCCUAUGUGCCUCACCUGUGGCCUGUGCUCUGCAGCCCAUGGCCCACAGCCCACAGGUCACAGCUACUUCCGCUGAGCCCCGACAUUUCCCCAAGCUGUGGCCUUUCUUGAGCAACUCAUGGCCCCAGACACUAGGGUCUUGUGUGAACAAAUUCAUCCCGGAGACUCUAAUGCAGAAUCAGUUUAGAGCUAAAACCCAAACUCUUGAUGAUCUUGGGUGGAGCAGAUUUCAGAGCUUUGGGCAUAAUCCAGCUGAGUCCCUACAAUUCCACAACAGGGACUCCUUUCUUUCACCCCUUGCUCCCCCAUACCAGAUGGACGCAACAGAAAGAUGCUGAGAAUCUCAAAGACUUGUGCAACCUGGAAGACUCUUAUCAAAGAACUCACCUGCAAACUGGAGCGGAUCAUGAAGCAGAAGGGGAUAUCAGAUGAGAAGUUGUAGCUGUCUGGGACCCCUGAAGAGCCUCUCUCCUCCUGCUGCUCCCUGUUCCUAGCUUUCAGGAGACCUCCCAACUCUGGCCUGGAUAUGCAUCAGGUUUCUGGGCUGUACCACUGUGGCUGGCUCUGAUGUGUGUGUCUCUAUGGAAAUAACAAGGAGGUCCCCAAAACACAGAGAAGGAGCCAACAUCUAUGUCAGUCCUGGCCAAGAGCUGGCCAUUGAACUCAGAACCUUAUGCAGGCUAAGCAAGCAUCUUGCCAAUGAGGUAUGUACCCAUCCCUGUUAAUUUUAUUUUGAGGCAGGGUCUCCCUAAGUUGCCCAGGCCUGAAUUUUCAAUCCUCCUGCCUCAGCCUUCUGAGUACCGGGGAUUACAGGAUUAUACAAAACUAUUAACUGUGUGCUCACUUGGUCAGCACAUAUACUAAAGCUAUUAACUAUACAUGUUAAAACUGGCUAAAAAGUAUACAUGUUAGUGAGGUACUAUGUAAUAUUUCAAAACAUGCAUACACUAUGUAAUGUUUAAAUCAUGUUAAACAUGCCCAUUUC